UCUGCCAAGAAGGAAAUAAGGAUAAUUGUCAUAGGCAACUCCCUUCUGAGGGGAACAGAGGGCCCCAUAUGUCAUCCAGGUCCUACCUAUCCUAUCCAGGCCUUUCGUUGCCAGCUGCUGCAGGAUGGGCUUGCGUGCAUGGAUGCCUUGGGGAGAUGGCGUCAGCCUGAUGUGACCGGUUACCGUGUUGAGUAAACCUCUCCUACAGUGCUCUGCCGUGCGCCCUCACAGUGCUUGGGGCUCAGAGGAGUUACUCAGCGCCUGUCUGCACUGCAGAGUAAAGUCCUCCGGUGAAUCAGAUGUAAACUCACGUUUCUUAAGCAUCUGAGGUGAAAUGCUUGGAAAAUUUACCUUGGAAAAGGACCAGGCUCGGAGGCCUCCAGCAUAUUUUGCUGUAGCUGCAAUAUCUCAGGACACCACCGAGUCAAAGGUAAUAUUAUCACUGAAUGCAUUGGGAUGGAGCAUCUUGUCCUUGAAUCUCUCUGGAGCCCACCUGUGACAUGACUCAUGGCCUUGAUGACGGGCUUAGGAUGACUGAGCCUCAUCAGGGCCCUCUGAUUAAGCAGCCACCAGCACUUAUGUCGUGCCCAGACUUGCAGGAACCCCAAAUAUAGAAAAUGUGGUUGGACCAAGUGAAACUUUUGCUGAAUAAAGCUUUCCAUGGAAGAGAACAACCCUCAUCUUCCAGACUGCAGCGAGAACAGUAAUUGUUAAAGUUAUAUUCCCAGCCCCACCUGGUCCCUAAUUUAUCUGAAAAGGAAGAUAGCCUGAGCACUUCCAGCAUGAGUGCUAAUGUAAACACCCUCACUGGCUGCUUUAUUUACACACGCUUGCACCAAGAGCUCGGUUUAUAAAACGCCAUCUCCUCCUCAACUGUGUGAUGCUUCUAAGCUGCAUCCAUUAGGAGGGAAAACAAGAGGCAGCUCAGGACUUGGUUCCCCACUGAAGGAGGUUUGCAAACAGCACCCACUAGUGCCCUGUUCUCGGAGGCUGUGCCCCCAGCCCUGCUUCAGCCCCGGGUCCCAUGUGUGGCAAGGACAGAGAUGCGCACAUCUGCCUGGCUGCAGAGAGCUGCAUCCUUUGGCGGAUGGGAAAUAAUCGACACUUUGCUCUGCUGGCAGCCAGCACCCCACAGAUGGUUGGGUUUGUCAUUUUGCAUCCCCUCGGAGGUUCUAAUUUAAAAUUUAUACUAACAUAUGCCCAGAGACCUGCUGGCCUUCCCCCAGCAUCGCCAAUGCUUAUUCCCUGCUGCCCUGUGCAGUGAUGGGUGAGGAAUGAGUGACAUUUCUGCUUCUGCCACAGGUCUCUCGGCCUCCUGCAGUGGGAGAACAGAACCUUUUUGUUCCUUCCCCUCUGCAUUUUUUAUUAUCUUUAUUUUUUAGCUCAGGCAGCUGGAGACCAGGGUGCUUCCAGUACAGUUAUUUAGCCACAUGACUCCCAUUAACGUCAAUGACAAUUGCACAGCCAAAACUGUGCACAUCCUGUUGAAGAUUUACCCCCGGGGUUAACACUUUACAAAGACACUCUCCUCCCCCUUACAGCUUUUGCUGCUGUCAUUUCAUGGGGAGAAAACUGGAAGUCCCUGCACAAAAGGAACAAGCACUCACACAGGGAGUAGAAAUUUGCACCAGGCAAGUGUACUGUGCCCCAGGAGCUCCCCCUCUGGAAUGCAGUGCCUGCUGGAGGAGUUAUUUGUCCCCCUGACACCAACCAUAAAUUUGGCGACUGGGAGGAGCUAUUAUGCUAGCAUGACCCCUGGUAGAACACAGCCUAUUAUUUGCGCAUCUAGCCCAGAACUCCCCCUGGAGAUCCAAUAAAUUUUGGGGAAAAGCAGCCUGUCCUGACCUAAGGGCUGCGGGAAGCAGUUUUGGUGAUUAAUGACCCUCACAACAUGAGCACACACAUGCUCCUGGUCUGAACCUGCCCACUUUGACGCCUCACUGCACCUCUUCAGCCGAGGGCUUCUUUCCCUGGGGUCGCUCUCAGCCCCUAUCACCUCCUUGUCACCCCCCAGGCCAGGGGAGCAAAUUGAAUU